rnacentral:rRNA from 1 species
GAUAGAAAGUUACUUCGGUACAUCGGUGACAGGUGGUGCAUGGUUGUCGUCAGCUCGUGUCGUGAGAUGUUGGGUUAAGUCCCGCAACGAGCGCAACCCCUAUUGUUAGUUGCCAUCAUUCAGUUGGGCACUCUAGCGAGACUGCCGGUAAUAAACCGGAGGAAGUGGGGAUGACGUCAAAUCAUCAUGCCCCUUAUGACCUGGGCUACACACGUGCUACAAUGGUUGGUACAACGAGUUGCGAGUCGGUGACGGCGAGCUAAUCUCUUAAAGCCAAUCUCAGUUCGGAUUGUAGGCUGCAACUCGCCUACAUGAAGUCGGAAUCGCUAGUAAUCGCGGAUCAGCACGCCGCGGUGAAUACGUUCCCGGGCCUU